GGGGCUAUAGCCAAGUGGUAAGGCAAGGGACUGCAACUCCCUGAGCGCAGGUUCAAAUCCUGUUGGCCCCUCCA
rnacentral:tRNA from 1 species